CAGUCAUGUAGACACACAUACAGAUGAAAGACCCCCAAAGAAGGGAGACCCUCACUCAAGUCUCCGGAUGAUGUGACCCCCCCCCAAGAACUCACGUAAGA
rnacentral:pre_miRNA from 14 species